rnacentral:rRNA from 1 species
UACGGAGGGUGCGAGCGUUGUCCGGAAUCAUUGGGCGUAAAGGGCGCGAUAGGUGGCUUCCUAAGCGUGCGGUGAAAGCCUGGGGCUCGAACCCCGGGUCGGCCGUGCGAACUGGGGGGGCUUGAGUACUGUAGAGGCAGGCGGAAUUCCGGGUGUGAGCGGUGGAAUGCGCAGAUAUCAGGAGGAACACCGGUGGCGAAGGCGGGUCUCUGGGGCAGUAACUGACGCUGAGGAGCGAAAGCGUGGGGAGCGAACAGG